ensembl:miRNA
GGGCGGGGUGCUGAGCUGAGGAGGACCUGUGAGAGUCGAGCUGUCCCUGUGCUUCCCUGUGGUCCAGGCUGUGCUU